rnacentral:rRNA from 1 species
UUCUUGAAACUUAAAAAAUUUGGCGGUAUUUUAGUCUAUUCAGAGGAACCUGUCUUGUAAUCGAUAAUCCACGAUGGACCUUACUUAAAUUUGUAUUCAGUUUAUAUACCGUCGUUAUUAGAAUAUUUUAUAAGAAAGUUAAUUUUCAAGAUUUCUAAAAAGAAAAUAUAUCAGAUCAAGGUGUAGCUUAUAUUUAAGUAUUGAUGGGUUACAAUAAAAUUAUUUAAAUGGAUAUAAAUUUGAAAAAUUUAUUGAAAGUGGAUUUGAUAGUAAAAUUAUAGAGAUUAAUAGUUUGAUUUUAGCUCUAAAAUAUGCACACAUCGCCCGUCACUCUUAUUACUAAGGUAAGAUAAGUCGUAACAUAGUAGAUGUACUGGAAAGUGUACCUAGAAUGC